rnacentral:rRNA from 1 species
GGUCAAGCGAACAAGUGCAUGUGGUGGAUGCCUUGGCGAUCACAGGCGAUGAAGGACGCGGUAGCCUGCGAAAAGCCCCGGGGAGCUGGCAAACAAGCUUUGAUCCGGGGAUGUCCGAAUGGGGAAACCCACUCCGUAUGGAGUAUCCAUGACUGAAUACAUAGGUCAUGUGAAGCGAACGCGGUGAACUGAAACAUCUAAGUAACCGCAGGAAAAGAAAUCAACCGAGAUUCCCAAAGUAGUGGCGAGCGAAAUGGGAUGAGCCUUGUACUCUUUAUUCGUAUUGUUAGCCGAACGCUCUGGAAAGUGCGGCCAUAGCAGGUGAUAGCCCUGUAGGCGAAAACAGUAUGAAAGAACUAGGUGUACGACAAGUAGGGCGGGACACGUGAAAUCCUGUCUGAAGAUGGGGGGACCAUCCUCCAAGGCUAAAUACUCGUGAUCGACCGAUAGUGAACCAGUACCGUGAGGGAAAGGCGAAAAGAACCCCGGGAGGGGAGUGAAAUAGAUCCUGAAACCGCAUGCAUACAAACAGUCGGAGCCUCGUAAGGGGUGACGGCGUACCUUUUGUAUAAUGGGUCAGCGACUUACGUUCAGUAGCAAGCUUAACCGUAUAGGGCAGGCGUAGCGAAAGCGAGUCCGAAUAGGGCGUUCAGUUGCUGGGCGUAGACCCGAAACCAGGUGAUCUAUCCAUGGCCAGGAUGAAGGUGCGGUAACACGUACUGGAGGUCCGAACCCACUAACGUUGAAAAGUUAGGGGAUGAGCUGUGGAUAGGGGUGAAAGGCUAAACAAACCUGGAAAUAGCUGGUUCUCUCCGAAAACUAUUUAGGUAGUGCCUCGUGUCUCACCUUCGGGGGUAGAGCACUGUCAUGGUUGGGGGGUCUAUUGCAGAUUACCCCGCCAUAGCAAACUCCGAAUACCGAAGAGUGCAAUCACGGGAGACAGACAUCGGGUGCUAACGUCCGGUGUCAAGAGGGAAACAACCCAGACCGCCAGCUAAGGUCCCCAAAUAUGGCUAAGUGGGAAACGAAGUGGGAAGGCUAAAACAGUCAGGAGGUUGGCUUAGAAGCAGCCACCCUUUAAAGAAAGCGUAAUAGCUCACUGAUCGAGUCGUCCUGCGCGGAAGAUGUAACGGGGCUAAGCCAUAUACCGAAGCUGCGGAUGCGUGCUUGCACGCAUGGUAGGAGAGCGUUCCGUAAGCCUGCGAAGGUGCCUUGUAAAGGGUGCUGGAGGUAUCGGAAGUGCGAAUGCUGACAUGAGUAGCGAUAAAGGGGGUGAAAGGCCCCCUCGCCGUAAGCCCAAGGUUUCCUACGCAACGUUCAUCGGCGUAGGGUGAGUCGGCCCCUAAGGCGAGGCAGAAAUGCGUAGCUGAUGGGAAGCAGGUCAAUAUUCCUGCACCAUUGUUAGAUGCGAUGGGGGGACGGAUCGCGGAAGGUUGUCCGGGUGUUGGACGUCCCGGUCGCUGCAUUGGAGAAGGCGCUUAGGCAAAUCCGGGCGCGGAAUUCAAGGGUGUGGCGCGAGCUCCUUAGGGAGCGAAGCAAUUGGAAGUGGUUCCAAGAAAAGCCUCUAAGCUUCAGUCUAACGAUGACCGUACCGCAAACCGACACAGGUGGGCGAGAUGAGUAUUCUAAGGCGCUUGAGAGAACUCGGGAGAAGGAACUCGGCAAAUUGGUACCGUAACUUCGGGAUAAGGUACGCCCUUGUAGCUUGACUGGCCUGCGCCAGGAGGGUGAAGGGGUUGCAAUAAACUGGUGGCUGCGACUGUUUAAUAAAAACACAGCACUCUGCAAACACGAAAGUGGACGUAUAGGGUGUGACGCCUGCCCGGUGCCGGAAGAUUAAAUGAUGGGGUGCAAGCUCUUGAUUGAAGUCCCGGUAAACGGCGGCCGUAACUAUAACGGUCCUAAGGUAGCGAAAUUCCUUGUCGGGUAAGUUCCGACCUGCACGAAUGGCGUAACGAUGGCCACACUGUCUCCUCCCGAGACUCAGCGAAGUUGAAGUGUUUGUGAUGAUGCAAUCUACCCGCGGCUAGACGGAAAGACCCCAUGAACCUUUACUGUAGCUUUGCAUUGGACUUUGAACCGAUCUGUGUAGGAUAGGUGGGAGGCUAUGAAACCGGAACGCUAGUUUCGGUGGAGCCGUCCUUGAAAUACCACCCUGGUUUGUUUGAGGUUCUAACCUUGGUCCGUGAUCCGGAUCGGGGACAGUGCAUGGUAGGCAGUUUGACUGGGGCGGUCUCCUCCCAAAGGGUAACGGAGGAGUACGAAGGUACGCUAGGUACGGUCGGAAAUCGUGCUGAUAGUGCAAUGGCAUAAGCGUGCUUAACUGCGAGACCGACAAGUCGAGCAGGUGCGAAAGCAGGUCAUAGUGAUCCGGUGGUUCUGUAUGGAAGGGCCAUCGCUCAACGGAUAAAAGGUACUCUGGGGAUAACAGGCUGAUACCGCCCAAGAGUUCAUAUCGACGGCGGUGUUUGGCACCUCGAUGUCGGCUCAUCUCAUCCUGGGGCUGUAGCCGGUCCCAAGGGUAUGGCUGUUCGCCAUUUAAAGAGGUACGUGAGCUGGGUUUAAAACGUCGUGAGACAGUUUGGUCCCUAUCUGCCGUGGGCGUUGGAUAUUUGAAGGGGGCUGCUCCUAGUACGAGAGGACCGGAGUGGACGAACCUCUGGUGUACCGGUUGUGACGCCAGUCGCAUCGCCGGGUAGCUAUGUUCGGAAGAGAUAACCGCUGAAAGCAUCUAAGCGGGAAACUCGCCUUAAGAUGAGAUAUCCCUGGAGGCUUGACCUCCUUGAAGGGUCGUUCGAGACCAGGACGUUGAUAGGUCGGGUGUGUAAGCGCAGUAAUGCGUUCAGCUAACCGAUACUAAUUGCCCGUAAGGCUUGAUCCU